rnacentral:ncRNA from 2 species
CACUCCUGCACGGGAGAGUCCCCGGCGCACGACGUGGCCGGGGCGCCGAAGGGGCAAUUCCUCCCCGGAACCUCUCAGGCCACCGGACCGUGCGGGUCAG